UUCUCCCAAAUCUCUCUCUUGGUUCUCUCUUCUCUCUCUUUCGGUUCAAGCAAAGAGAAGAACUUUCUUCUUCUUGUUUGGAGUCUCAUGGCUAGCGGUGUGGAAAACUGGGAAGAAUAUUUUCCCUUUGUAAACAAGAUCCUCUCCUACUUCCUUCACUCGGCCAACACUAGGAGAAGUUCUCUCCAUUUCUCUCUUUCUCUUCCUCUUGGGUGCCUUGCAACAAAGAGGAAAGAAGAUCUCUCUCAUCUCUCUCGGGUUUUCGUUAAGUGAGCAUUUAUCUGUGAACACUUUCUGUAGCAGGGAAGAACUUAUGGGAUUGUGGUGAUAACCACAAUCACAUAUAUGAUUUUGCAGGGCAGAAGACAUAUCAGAAUGCUGGGAUUUUUAUUUAUAAGUAGGACUUUUAUGAUUUUUAGUUGAUAUGUAAUAGUUUACAUUAUGUAGAUCAAUAAUA